GUCAUUUUCACUACCUAACAUUGCUGCCUGAGCUCUGCCUCCUGUUAGAUCAGUGGUGGCAUUAAAUUCUCAUAGGAACACAAACCCUACUGUGUGAACUGUGCAUAUGAAGGAUCUAGGUUGUGUGCUUCUUAUGAGAAUCUAAUGCCUGAUGAUCUGAGGUGGAACAGUUUCAUCCCAAAACCAUC